rnacentral:rRNA from 1 species
GGCUCAGGACGAAACGCUGGCGGCGCGCUUAACACAUGCAAGUCGAACGAUGAAGCUCUAGCUUCGCUAGGCGGAUUAGCGGCGAACGGGUGAGUAAUACGCGAGCGACCUACCUCCGACUCUGGGAUAAGCCUGGGAAACUAGGGUCUAAUACCGGAUACGACCAAUCUCCGCAUGGGGUGUUGGUGGAAAGCGUUAUGGAGUGGUUUUAGAUGGGCUCACGGCCUAUCAGCUUGUUGGUGAGGUAAUGGCUUACCAAGGCGACGACGGGUAGCCGGCCUGAGAGGGUGACCGGCCACACUGGGACUGAGACACGGCCCAGACUCCUACGGGAGGCAGCAGUGGGGAAUAUUGCACAAUGGGCGCAAGCCUGAUGCAGCGACGCCGCGUGAGGGAUGACGGCCUUCGGGUUGUAAACCUCUGUUAGCAUCGAAGAAGCGAAAGUGACGGUAGGUGCAGAGAAAGCGCCGGCUAACUACGUGCCAGCAGCCGCGGUAAUACGUAGGGCGCGAGCGUUGUCCGGAAUUAUUGGGCGUAAAGAGCUUGUAGGGCGGUUGGUCGCGUCUGCUGUGAAAGGCUGGGGCUUAACCCUGGUUUUGCAGUGGGUACGGGCUAACUAGAGUGCAGUAGGGGAGACUGGAAUUCCUGGUGUAGCGGUGGAAUGCGCAGAUAUCAGGAGGAACACCGAUGGCGAAGGCAGGUCUCUGGGCUGUAACUGACGCUGAGAAGCGAAAGCAUGGGGAGCGAACAGGAUUAGAUACCCUGGUAGUCCAUGCCGUAAACGUUGGGCACUAGGUGUGGGGGACAUUCCACGUUUUCCGCGCCGUAGCUAACGCAUUAAGUGCCCCGCCUGGGGAGUACGGCCGCAAGGCUAAAACUCAAAGAAAUUGACGGGGGCCCGCACAAGCGGCGGAGCAUGCGGAUUAAUUCGAUGCAACGCGAAGAACCUUACCAAGGCUUGACAUAUACUGGACUGCGUCAGAGAUGGCGUUUCCCUUCGGGGCUGGUAUACAGGUGGUGCAUGGUUGUCGUCAGCUCGUGUCGUGAGAUGUUGGGUUAAGUCCCGCAACGAGCGCAACCCUCGUUCUAUGUUGCCAGCACGUGAUGGUGGGGACUCAUAGGAGACUGCCGGGGUCAACUCGGAGGAAGGUGGGGAUGACGUCAAAUCAUCAUGCCCCUUAUGUCUUGGGCUUCACGCAUGCUACAAUGGUCGGUACAGAGGGUUGCGAUACUGUGAGGUGGAGCUAAUCCCUAAAAGCCGGUCUCAGUUCGGAUUGGGGUCUGCAACUCGACCCCAUGAAGUCGGAGUCGCUAGUAAUCGCAGAUCAGCAACGCUGCGGUGAAUACGUUCCCGGGCCUUGUACACACCGCCCGUC